AAUGGACGAAAGUCUGACGCAGCAACUCCGCGUGCGGGAUGAAGGCCCUCGGGUCGUAAACCGCUUUCAGUAGGGAAGAACCAAGACGGUACCUACAGAAGAAGCACCGGCUAACUACGUGCCAGCAGCCGCGGUGAUACGUAGGGUGCAAGCGUUGUCCGGAUUGAUUGGGCGUAAAGGGCCCGUAGGCGGUUCGGCAAGUCGAUGGUGAAAUCUCAGGGCUCAACCCUGAGAGGUCUGUCGAUACUGCUGUGACUAGAGUUUGGUAGGGGAGCACGGAAUUCCAGGUGUAGCGGUGAAAUGCGCAGAUAUCUGGAGGAACACCAAUGGCGAAGGCAGUGCUCUGGGCCAAUACUGACGCUGAGGGGCGAAAGCGUGGGGAGCGAA
rnacentral:rRNA from 1 species